rnacentral:tRNA from 1 species
GGAUUGUGGCUCAGUGGCAGAGCACUUGCCUUGCACCUAUGAGGCACUGGGUUUGAUCAUCAGAACCACAUAAAAAUAAAUAAAUAAAUAAAGGUAUUGUGUCCAUCUACAAUAAAUUAAAUAAAUAAAUAAAUAAAUGGCAUGUAGCUCACUGGUAAAGCACCCCUGGGUUCAAUCCCCAGUACCA